UACAGAGGUCCCGGGCGUUGUUCGGAUUCACUGGGCGUAAAGGGUGCGUAGGCGGCUUUGAAAGUCUGAUGUGAAAUCUCCGGGCCCAACCCGGAAAUGGCAUUAGAAACUGCAGGGCUAGAGGCUUGGAGGGGGAAUUGGAAUGCUCGGUGUAGCAGUGAAAUGCGUAGAGAUCGAGCGGAACACCAGUGGCGAAGGCGGGUCUCUGGACAGUUCCUGACACUGAGGCACGAAGGCCAGGGGAGCAAACGGG
rnacentral:rRNA from 1 species